rnacentral:rRNA from 1 species
UACAGAGGUGGCAAGCGUUGUUCGGAAUUACUGGGCGUAAAGGGCGCGUAGGCGGCCUUCUAAGUCAGACGUGAAAUCCCCCGGCUUAACCUGGGAACUGCGUCUGAUACUGGGAGGCUUGAGUAUGGGAGAGGGAUGUAGAAUUCCAGGUGUAGCGGUGAAAUGCGUAGAUAUCUGGAGGAAUACCGGUGGCGAAGGCGGCCCCCUGGGCUAACACUGACGCUCAUGCACGAAAGCGUGGGGAGCAAACAGG